GCCGGGCGUGGUGGCGCAUGCCUGUAAUCCCAGCUACUCAGGAGGCUGAGGCAGGAGAAUUGCUUGAGCCCAGGAGGCAGAGGCUGCAGUGAGCUGAGAUUGCACCACUGCACUCCAGCCUGGGCAACAAAGCUAGACUCUGUUUCAA
ensembl:misc_RNA Metazoa_SRP Metazoan signal recognition particle RNA